UCAACUGCAUGUUGAAGCUUACUCACAAAUCUUCUGUUAACAAAUUUUUUUACACUCACCUAGCUUUCUAUAUUUCUGUGGUAUCCCCGUUCAAUUUGUUGAUCCGUUCCUGCAAUUUCUUCCAAUCCUUCCAAAAUUUCAACAACUGAUGUAUCUGGAAAUUAAAAUAAAUGGUUUUGAAUUACACUUUUUACUAUAAUAAAAUGUUUGUACUAAUUGUUUAAUAGCUUACCAACGAUUUUUCGCUCCUUUUUCAUUGGAAAAAAAAGUUUUUAACAAAAGUAAACAGCAUGGCGACAAGAAACGAAACAAAUUCCUAACGAUAAGUUUUUGGGGCAGUCAGUUCAAGCUGUGAACUUUUAUUUUGGGGUGUUGACAGCAGCCCAAAAUUAAGAACAGCACCUAAACUUUGUUUUGAUGCCCGGGCGUUCUUAAUUUUGGGUUGUUUUUAUUCUGAGUGUAAUUCAUCUUGAACCUAACAGCACGUGUUGACAGCUCACUGCUGCCAACAUUACAGAAAUGCUUCAUGAUUAGGUGUCAAUAUUCAACAACCUCUUUCUGCUUCCAACCGCCGAGGUAAGGUGAGUAAUAUCGGAAACACCAUCAGAACCUUCGUUAUAACUUACUUUAAAAAGAGUCACUAUUAAUAGCUAAGCACUGUGCAGAGCAAGAUGUCUCCAAAAAUAGUGGCUACUGAGAAAAAAAACGAAACUCGCUCAGCCUUAAGGAAAAAAAUCAAAAUCCUUCGGAAUCUUGAGGACAAGGCUGCGAAGAAAGUAGACAUCGCGAAGAAGUUCAACAUCCAUCCAACAACCGUCAGAAAAAUUCAAAAGAAUGCUGACUCCAUACUUCGUGCGGCAUCCAACACCUCGUGUCGUCUUGGUAAGACUUUCAAAUACGUUUCCACAGGUGCGUAUAAAAAUUUGGAGGAUGUUUUGUUUCUUUGGUUUCUUAACCAACGACGCCUGAACAAAACAGUU